AGCUGCGUGGUGGGCACAGAGCGAACUAUUCUUUCGCCUUUUACUAAAGAAUACCGUGUGUCCGCCACUCAAAGCAGCAUACGCCAUUUUUUGGAAGGGUUUCUUGAAAAAGAAAU